UCCUACGGGAGGCAGCAGUGGGGAAUAUUGGACAAUGGGCGCAAGCCUGAUCCAGCCAUACCGCGUGGGUGAAGAAGGCCUUCGGGUUGUAAAGCCCUUUUGUUGGGAAAGAAAAGCAUUCGGUUAAUACCCGGGUGUUCUGACGGUACCCAAAGAAUAAGCACCGGCUAACUUCGUGCCAGCAGCCGCGGUAAUACGAAGGGUGCAAGCGUUACUCGGAAUUACUGGGCGUAAAGCGUGCGUAGGUGGUGGUUUAAGUCCGUUGUGAAAGCCCUGGGCUCAACCUGGGAAUUGCAGUGGAUACUGGAUCACUCGAGUGUGGUAGAGGAUAGUGGAAUUUCCGGUGUAGCAGUGAAAUGCGUAGAGAUCGGAAGGAACAUCUGUGGCGAAGGCGACUAUCUGGGCCAACACUGACACUGAGGCACGAAAGCGUGGGGAGCAAACAGGAUUAGAUACCCUGGUAGUCCACGCCCUAAACGAUGCGAACUGGAUGUUGGGUUCAACUUGGAACCCAGUAUCGAAGCUAACGCGUUAAGUACGCACAUCUCUGCCUAAUUCCUUUAAAUUUUC
rnacentral:rRNA from 1 species